ACUAGUGAGAGAGAAGUAAAGAAGAUAGGGCGACCAGCUCCAUGGAAGAAAAUCAAUCAAACCACCCACUGAACAGACGAACCCCAAAAUAUAGUUGCUCAAAAGAAACAUGCUGCAAUGACUGAACGCCUCUCAAAUUCCAGCAACCUAUCUCACGUAAGUCCGAUUCAAAUGAUUUACCUGCUUUUGUUACAACUGUGCAUUUUCAGAUACAGACCGAAUUUUAUCUGUGCCGUCUUGUUACUGCUUCAGUAUCAAAACUUACUCUAAAAUCUAAUCUUGGUAAACUAUCGAAUUUAUUUUCCGAACUUGAGAAACUAGUAGCGGAGCUGUGGAGAAUUCAUAUUUCUUGCUUUCUUACGAAAUGCAGUCGUCUCUUAAAACCUUAUCGGAUUUUGAAGAAACUUUAGAACUGUGAAUAUUGGAUUAUUACCACUAGAAGACAGGAAUUAAUUCGCCGCAGCUAAGAAAGAUCAGAGCAAUGUGGUUGGAACUGAGAGUGAAAAUAGUGGUCUUCAAAAGGAGGGAGUCAUUUUUCUGUGGGAGUUCAAAAGAGGAGAUUAAAUUUGUGUGAGGUGAGAGUAAAUUAAUUUCUAGAGUACUUUAUAUUCAUAAAUUGAGGAAUUGUAAGUUGUGGAUUGCUUGUUUAUGAUGGCAUCUCGGAAUUGAGGAUUUAUCAUGCUAAGGAGACUGAUUAUUAGCUUCAGGUUUGCUAUAGACCGAUAAUUGAGGAUUGCAACACUGUGAGGUUUGCUCCUUAUCUGUUUUGUUAUAAAGGAAUUGGUAAAGACCUUACAGAUUGAAGUCUUUAUGAAGAGACUGGAAAUUGAGGAAAUGUGGAUGAUUUCAAAUGGUUGCGAGCUGUGCAACCGCCUAACUGGUCCACUAUACUGGAGGAAGAACGUGUUAAUGCGGUGAAUGUUUCAAAUCUGCUAACCCCAACUGAAGACAUUUGGGAGUUAUAUGCUAAACCUGUUGGCAGUGUAGCAACUAGCAACUUGAGGAUUUCAGAACUUCACAUGGGUGUGUGGAUUAAUGGUAGUAUAUUGAUACGCAGAUAGGAAAAUGCGUUAGAAUUGAAGAUUGGCGUGAUAGGGAUGAAUCUGAAGAGGAUGUGUAUGAAGAUGGAGAUGCAGACACGAGUUAUGUUAACGGGCUUUCAGCGGAGGAGAAAGAAGUUAAAGCUAAGCGGACGCUGAAAUUCUUUGGUGCAGUACAGAAUGCGGACUGUCAUCUAGUAAUCUGGAGUUUUUCAAAACAACUGUAUGAAUCAGGAAUUUGAAAGUGAUUUUAUGAUAUUGAUAAAUGUCAUCGAGUUACCAAUUCAGCGAUAUAAAAAGAGGGUCAUUAGUAGUUUAUCAUGUGGAAGGAAGAAGAUGAUUAAGCGAAUCCUCCCAUCAAGACCUGAGCACCACCAUUUGAA